ACAGGCAUUGCGAAAUUAAAAUUACUCAUAAUUUUAGCUGGGCACAGUAGUUUGUGCCAAUAGUCCCAGCCACUCUGGAGGGCUUAUGCCUAUCAGGAGUCCACACUAAGUUUGGCAUCAACAUGUCAACCUCCUGGGAGCAAGGAAGCACCAGGUGGCCUAAGGAGAGGUGAACUAGCCCAGGUCAGAAACAGAGCAGGUCAAAUAUUCCUGUGCUGAUCAGUAAUGGGAUUGUGCCUGUGAAUAACCCCUAUGCCCCAGCCUGGGCAACACAGAAAAACCCUCAUCUCU
ensembl:misc_RNA Metazoa_SRP Metazoan signal recognition particle RNA